UGGGUGGCAGGUAGCGAGCCAGUCGGCCUCGGUCCGGUAACCCAUGGCAACCGCCCUGGUAACCCAUAGCAACUGCGCUGCGGAGAAAAAGAAAGAAAAAAACCGGCGUGGAGGGGGGCUGCGGACGGAUAACUGUGAACACUGGACAGUCCAGGAAAUCCAAGGAGACAGCUAACCAAUGGGACUUCAGCAGCUUGAAGACUGGACCGAGGCAGGUAAAACAACUACUGAAAGGCAGCCCCUGAGAAGGAUGGGGCAGAUCUGUGUGAACCCACUGAGAUUUGGGAAGAAAACUCAUGGAACAACUACAGUUAACUAAAUUUCAUUAAAAACAAAGAUAAAUACUUAAACUCAUCAA